CGUCACCGUAAGGCACUCGGCUCCUCGGACCCACCCCGUGUGGAAGAGCACAGCUGGGACCACACACCAACCUUCCAAGGACCCACUGGGAGCCCUACUCACACGGACUGUGGCCAGAGCCCUGGCCAAGGGGUUCUCAGUGGGGAAUAUGCUCACUUCAUCUUGGAAGAUUCAGCCAACUCUCCACCAGAAAGUCAUCAUCAACAGCCCCUACCCUCGACCAUGGAUGAGAGCAAAUGCUCCCUGGGCGCCAGCCAGAUCUGGAUCCUUUGACCAUUCCGACAGCAGUGAUCGAGGAACAGAAAUGCCCAGUGUCUCCCUGACUGGCUGGGGCAUCAUCCAGACCAGGCCUCCUGGCUGCAGCCCCUCUCCCAGGCUGUCCUCUGCACAAGGGUCUGUAGCAGUUGCAGGCGGAGGCAGGACAGCCAUCCUCAAGCUGCGACUCGCGCUACGAACACUCUCUCACACCCAGGCCUUGCGGUGUCCAUGGUCUCCCUGGGCAGAUCUUGGCCAAGGGUGUGCUUUAGGUGGCCUCAUCUGCGUCCGGCCGAGGCCUGCCCGCCCGGUCCGUUUUGUUUUCUGUGAUUUAUCGUGAGGCUUGGUUGUGUUGGUGGUGGGGAAAUACAGUUUUCUAUUCCAUCUGGAAAUUACUUAUGUAUUUGGUGCAAGGUACAGAUAUCUCCUUAUGUUUUUCAAAAGUCGACCUUUGCAUUGCUCAGAGGGAGCAUAAACCAAUCCAGCACUCCCCGUCCACCUUCACAUUGCUCACAGGGAGUGUACACCAACCCAGCACUCCCCGUCCACCUUCACGUGCCUCACAGGGUGCGUAAACCAAUGCAGCACUCCCCGUCCACCUUCACGUGGCUCACAGGGAGUGUAAACCCACCCAGCACUCCCCGUCCACCUUCACGUGGCUCACAGGGAGUGUAAACCAAUCCAGCACUCCCCGUCUGCCUUCACAUUGCUCACAGGGAGCGUAAACCAACCCAGCACUCCCCGUCCACCUUCACGUGGCUCACAGGGAGCGUAAACCAAUCCAGCACUCCCCGUCAGCCUUCACAUUGCUCACAGGGAGCGUAAACCAAUCCAGCACUCCCCGUCUGCCUUCACAUUGCUCACAGGGAGCGUAAACCAAUCCAGCACUCCCCGUCCACCUUCACGUGGCUCACAGGGAGCGUAAACCAAUCCACUGAUUUCGACCACUGAUGCCUAGCACAGUCUCACUGUCCCCGCUCAUGGUUCUCUAAACCACACGUCUUGUUUCCUUCCUG
rnacentral:lncRNA from 1 species